CGCUCCUCGAAAAAUUUUAAUGUAUGGGGAGUAUUGCCUGCCCGGUGACGAUUUGUUAAACGGCCGCGGUAUUUUUGACUGUGCGAAGGUAGCGUAAUCAUUUGCUCUUUAAUUGGGGGCUUGAAUGAAUGGCAAGACAGAAGCCAUGCUGUCUUUUCUUUAAUUUCUUGAAUUUGAUAUUGUUGUGAAGAAGCGGCAAUAUGGCCGUAGGACGAGAAGACCCUGUCGAGCUUUACUAAAGGCAGUUUUAUUUAGAUGGAUUCAAUGGGCUAAUUUUUUGUUUGAGAAUAAAUUUUGGGAGUUACUUUUGUGAAUUAAGGAUAUUGUAAAUUGCUAAUUUGUUUGGUUGGGGCAACCGCGGAGAAGAAAGAUCCUCCGCUUUUAUUAGAAAAAAGGUACUGUUUUGUUGCAGAAGGAAUAUUUUUUUAAAAAGAUCCACUGAUUUAGUGAUUAAAGGAAUAAGUUACCGCAGGGAUAACAGCGUCAUUCUUUUGGAGAGUUCAUAUUGAUAAGGGAGUUUGCGACCUCGAUGUUGGAUCAGGAUAUCCUAGGGAUGCAGCGGUUCCUGAGGGUUGGUCUGUUCGACCAUUAAAAUCCU
rnacentral:rRNA from 1 species